UACGUAGGGGGCAAGCGUUGUCCGGAUUUAUUGGGCGUAAAGGGCGCGUAGGCGGUUUCUUAAGUUUGAAGUGACAGUGGGUGGCUUAACUACCCAAGGCCUUUGAAAACUGGGGAACUUGAGGACCAGAGAGGGACAUAGAAUUCCGGGUGGAGUGGUGAAAUACGUAGAUAUCCGGAGGAAUACCAAAGGCGAAGGCAGUGUCCUGGAGGGUGACUGACGCUGAGGCGCGAAAGCUAGGGGAGCGAACAGG
rnacentral:rRNA from 1 species